AUCCAAAUUAGUUCAAGAUUUGAUGCAGUAUUGACAAAACAGCCAAACGUUUCAUUCGUGUUUCUUGUUCAUCGCAUUAUAAAUAAACAAGACGUCACAUCUUGAGAAUUUAUUUAGAUUUACCCAUUGAGACGAAGCAGCGAAAGAAUAUCUAUAAAACUGUGAUCCAGGAUCACAAAAGACUGGCAAAGAUAUCUUGGAAGGAAGUGAAGAUGCAGCCUCUUGAAUGGCGAGAAGCCACUGUUCCAAGAUCUGUUUGUCUGGGGAUUUCUGUAACCAGAUUGAACAUUUCAAGUGGCGACUUGUUGAACAGGCCAAUAACCCAAAUAUGUCGAAAUUACAUAUGGGCAGAUCAUAAUUAAAAUGUAUAAGACUUCUCACCAAAUAGUAGACUUGAGAUCGGGUCACAAUCUGUAUCGGAUAUCCUUUACACCCUCGUAUUUGAAUUGGUCUAACGGUUGAAGCUAUUCCUAAAUUUAUAGAUCCGCAGCAAACUGACAAACCAUCAUAGUCUGAUUUUGACUUGUAAUACGCCAACAAUCGCCCAUCCAGCACGAACCAAAAUUUUUUCCAACCAAGCUGAAAUUAUAAACAUUUAUUAAGAGUCGGAUAUUAAUAAUUUGCAAAACACACUUGACAAAGUAACAUUACAAAUCUUAUCACCGUCCUAAACCGCAAUUUAUUUAAUAUGAAGCCGUGACGAACAAGUAAUACCUCUUCCGUUCUAACAAAAUUUACAUAAUACGACGACACCAAGGAGGAGGAAAGUUGACCACGAAAAAUUACUGCAAACUGUGGAAAUAUCUAUUGCUGUUUUAUUAUAGAAUGGCUUAUUUUAGUCUAAAACCAACCAACCACCCACUCGCUUAACUUAUCGACACGCAUAAUGCUCUUUUGGCAAUAAGAGUUAUUAGUCAUGAGUUAAUAUACAUACCACCAAUAUGUUUUAUUUUAUUGUGUUUAUUCCAAUGUUUAGUGAAAUGAUAUUCACUCGGUAA